rnacentral:tRNA from 1 species
CUCCCCGUAGUUCAAUGGAUAGAACGGAGGACUUCUAAUCCUUCAAUCGGGGUUCGAUUCCUCGCGGGGGGA